CUUGUUGGUGGGGUGAUGGCCUACCAAGGCGACGACGGGUAGCCGGCCUGAGAGGGUGUCCGGCCACACUGGGACUGAGAUACGGCCCAGACUCCUACGGGAGGCAGCAGUGGGGAAUAUUGCACAAUGGGCGCAAGCCUGAUGCAGCGACGCCGCGUGAGGGAUGACGGCCUUCGGGUUGUAAACCUCUUUCAGUAGGGACGAAGCGCAAGUGACGGUACCUAUAGAAGAAGCACCGGCCAACUACGUGCCAGCAGCCGCGGUAAUACGUAGGGUGCGAGCGUUGUCCGGAAUUACUGGGCGUAAAGAGCUCGUAGGUGGUUUGUCGCGUUGUUCGUGAAGACUCACAGCUCAACUGUGGGCGUGCGGGCGAUACGGGCAGACUGGAGUACUGCAGGGGAGACUGGAAUUCCUGGUGUAGCGGUGGAAUGCGCAGAUAUCAGGAGGAACACCGGUGGCGAAGGCGGGUCUCUGGGCAGUAACUGACGCUGAGGAGCGAAAGCGUGGGGAGCGAACAGGAUUAGAUACCCUGGUAGUCCACGCCGUAAACGGUGGGUACUAGGUGUGGGUUUCCUUCCUUGGGAUCCGUGCCGUAGCUAACGCAUUAAGUACCCCGCCUGGGGAGUACGGCCGCAAGGCUAAAACUCAAAGGAAUUGACG
rnacentral:rRNA from 1 species